UAUGUCUACUGUCUUGCAAGGCCCUGG
rnacentral:piRNA from 1 species